rnacentral:rRNA from 1 species
CCUACGGGAGGCAGCAGUGAGGAAUAUUGGUCAAUGGACGAGAGUCUGAACCAGCCAAGCAGCGUGAAUGAUGACUGCCCUAUGGGCUUAAAACUCUUUUUUUAAAGAAAUAAAACGAGGCACGUGUGUCUUUUCGCAUCUACUUUAUGAAAAAGGAACGGCGAACUUCGUGCCAGCAGCGGCGGUAAUGCGGAGGAUCCGUGCGUUACCCGGAUUUAUUGGGUUUAAGGGGAGCGUAAAUGGGGUGUUAAGUCAGUUGUGAAAGUUUGCGGCUCAACCGUACAAUUGCAAUUGAUACUGGCAGUCUUGAGUACAGUUGAGGUAGGCGGAAUUCGUGGUGUAGCGGUGAAAUGCUUAGAUAUCACGAAGAACCCCGAUUGCGAAGGCAGCUUACUAAUCUGUGACUGACAUUGAUGCUCGAAAGUGUGGGUAUCAAACAGGAUUAGAUACCCGAGUAGUC